AGUAAAGAUAAGGGAGAAAAACAGCCUGCCUAGGAACAACGAUGAGACCCAAUAAGGAGCAGGAGACCCCAGACCUAAAAAUUUCUAUUGGUCUGAACUACCGCGUGAGGGGUGGGAAACUUAAUUUGAAAAAAGCUAUAAUUGCCCAGGGAUUUCUUUGUUCGGGGUCCCUCUUCGGAGGCACCCAACUCGAGUUGUAAUUACUGCACGCAUGUCAUUACAAUUUAUUUAUUUAAUUUGCCUUGAUUUGGCUCCGAACUUUUCCAAGACACCCAGGGUGAAGAGGACUAAUGGGACGCCGCUGGAUCCACGGGUGGUGAUAUCUCUUUCUCUCUCCCCCCCUCUUUCUCUCUCCCCCUCUCUUUCUCUCUCCCCCUCUCUUUCUCUCUCCCCCUCUCUUUCUCUCUCCUUUCCUUCGCCUUUCCCCACUUUUUCUCCCCACUUUGUGGAAAAUAAAGCUAAAAGGGUGUACAAUAUUUGACCAGUUUUAGCGUCUUAAUCUCGUCCUUGGGAUCGUAACGAAACCCUCCCGAUAUUGGAUUGGGACAGACACUAAUCUGAGUUUCUUUCUACCUGGCUCUCAGUUUUCAAGAAGCACUUUGUGUCCUUGAGAUUUCUGCUCUUCUAAAUUUCAUUCCAGGUGAGCAAGGAGUUCAGCAGAUACUGGAGAAAGAAAGAGAAAAGAGAAGAAUGGCUAGACCAACAAGCUAUGCAGUUGCAACAUUAAAUUUCCUUAGGACACCAAAGUAUAAACACAGCUAGUGAGCAAUCUAAACUACUGAGUAGAAAUGAUGGACAUCUCUACUAAAAUAACUGCUGUUACCUGAUGGCUCCCAUUAGAAAUACUCCUGAUUUGAAGCAGUGACAGACAAACCAGGCCUCUUUUCUCUAAGUGCAUCAGAAACCCUUCAUCAAUCUGAUUGCCCUGCUGCAGGGGCCAUGUCCCCCAUCAGGAGACGGUCUCACAGCAUUCAGGUUAGAUAUAUGGCAUUUCCUGCUUGCGGUCACUGAUUUUUCCCUUCCUUACAUUUUUCAGCCUCCCAAAAUAACAACAGCAGGGGAAUAAAACCAGAAACUUUGCAUGUUUGGGGCCAUUUAGUGAAUAAAGACACCUAAGGAACAGAUGGUGUUUCUGUGACUUUCAAUGCAAUCAAGUGCAUAACUCACAGAUUUAUGAAACAGAUGCACAUUUCAUUACUGCCUUGUAAGAUAGCAGGAUUUACAGAAAUGGUGAUGUGACACCUCUGUGGCUCUAUCUUUCUCCCAUCUCCAGGACAAUUUUUCUUACUACUAAUCAGAAAAACAGCUGAAUUUCAGCCACUGAACUCCCCAUCACUUUCACACACACAGGAGUUGAAAUUAAGUUUGAGACAGCCUUUCUGAUCUCCUGACUCACAAUCACAGUGGCAGUAGUACCAGGAAAGGUGGCCAGAAGUGCACUUUCUAGUUUUCCUUUUUCACAUCUUGUUCUCUGUUUGCCAGGAUCAAUUACGUUAAAUCUGUGAAACAAGCAUCAGCGAGGAUCACCUUGGCUCUGUCACUGCACUGAUGAAACCACUGUUUCUGUAUCUGAAACUUGCAGUGAAAUAUCCUGAUAAGAUGCUCACUUAAAGCAGGAGGAGAAUAGGAAUGUGGAGCACAUUUUGGAUGUAAGCAAGUUAUCAUCUUAAACAGUGGCAAACAAACCUGAUAAUACUAUUGAGGAUCAUCUGGCCCUAAUUUGUGAUAGCAAUACCUAUUUUCCACAAUUCAACAACAUUGUUCUUAUUGAAGGUAGAAUUUGACAUUUUUUUCUAUGUUUAUAUUAAAAAAUAAUUCAAGGCAGUAGGAGUGAAUCCAUGAAUUCAAACAUUGGUGCUGAGGCCGUGACAUCUACUUAUCGUCAGUUUGAUGGGUCUACUUUGGUCUAUUCCCAAAGGCCCCAAUCCUAACAUCCCUCACAUAUGGUUCAAAGCUAAACAAGGGACCAGUUAUCAGUUCAGGCCCUCAUGUUGCCAAUAGUGACUGGGGCUCAUUUAACGUCUAGCUGGACCAGAGUUAGCAAUCUAUCUUGCUUACUUCAAAAUCACUUCUAGAACCAAAUGGACACACAGAGUAAGUUCCUAUGAUCAAGACAUUGGCUUCAAAAUUGCUCUACUACUCUAGCUCACAAUGUAGAUGUAGACAUGGCCUUUCUCUCCCUGCAGGUGCCCUCAUCAUACCCAUACAGUGCUUCUAACCAGACGCUGUUUGCUUGUAUCCUAAUUAGUCCACACUUCCAUGUUUCCCCAAACACAUCUCUGAUGUGGUUCCCAUGGGAGGAUUGAGAUGAGGAUUAUCAUUUCUGUGAAUAGACCAGCUCAUAUGCAUAAGCAUUCCUCUACCCUGUUAACAAAAAGGAUCCAAAACACAACCCAAACUUAUGACAAAGUAGAAUAUGAGAGGAAUGGUUCAUUUAACACCAACAAUGAAAGAAAUGACUCAGCUGAGACCUAACAAUGAGAGUUUGUUCUUCCUUCUUCAGUACUGGAACAAACUGGUAUUUGCUCUCUUGACUACAGCAGCUACUGGCAUUUUACAGCCCCAUAUUCAAUUGAUGUUUUGGCUUAAUUCUCAGCUGGGGCACUCUUUUUCUCUUUCUUCCCUUCAAUAGCCUCGAGUUAGCUAAGAAAAGAGCCACCUACGCUGAGCUGGCUGUUUAUUGUUCCCCGCUCCCCAUACCGGCAAGGGACAACGGUGGGCAGAGGACAGGUGAUUCAGUGUUAAUUAGAACGUUUCCCACACAGCAGGUUUCCCAAGUGCUUCAGCUACUAGUGACACUCUCAAAUGAAAGCCCAGACUGGGACUGCAGCUACAAAACAUUCACAAAAUAGCAAGUCUUUAACCUUGCCUUUUUGUUUUUCUGUUCCUAGAGCAUCCCCAUGCUGGGACGGUCUCUCACCAAAGUGGUACCACUCUAAUAGAGCUCCUCCGUGCCAGCUCUUUCAAGAGGACCCCUGAGGUAUUCUCAGUGUAUUCUCCUCCCUUCCUAACCCCUCCGUAAUGAUUCCUGGUUUCUGCCUUUACUUGCUUGCUACCUACCAGUAGUUUUCUGAAUAAAGAUAAGUAAGAUAUAAGCUCAGUAUUCCUGUAUCCAUCUUCAUGCAUUAGAAUAGAUGGACUGUUGUUAGUACAUUUGAAUGGAACAUUGCGACCACAUUACAGAACAAAUCACCUCUUUCCAUUAUUGAGCAUGGGGAAGUAUAGGGUUAAAUAUUUUCCCAGAGAGCCUAAGAUAUAUUCAGAGAAGCUUCCAACAGCCCAAACUCUGGCUUGUACAAGUUGUGGAUUAGGAGACAAGAUUCUCUAGCUCAUUUAUACAUACCUUCAGAGAAUCCAUCACAGAUUUUGCUGCCAGUAGUAGCUUGUGUCCCAACUAGACGGUAGCAUUAAGAUUUGGACUCAGAUCCUUUCUUUCCACUCUGUGCAAUGGUUCUUGCUUUUGCUACACCAUGUCAAGACAAGCCACUGUUCAGAAUUCUUCAGCAACAUUUCACAUGGUGCCAUUGCUGGUUUUAUUCACCUUCUCUUUCAGUUUUUCCUUUUAUUUCCAUUGCCAAUGGAGAAAUAAGUGUUUGGAAGGAGAGAGAAGAAAAGCCAUAUGAGGAGAUAGCCAAGGAACUUCUCUGACUAUGAGAAGAGUGGUGGGUGAUCAUUUCCUCAGUUCCAUGGUUUAUACAAGUGAAAUCCUUAACCCUGCCUUUCAUUAUUAGGAAUACCUUUCAUUCACUUUUAAUGCUUUAUUGAGGUGCACAGACUCUUUAUUCUCAACAUCACACCUGCUGAUCAUAAAACUAAAGGUAAAAUUUAUGCCUUGAUCCACUAUCAUGUAUCGGGGCACUUUCCUGAGCUCAGGCAUGAAAAUUUGAGCUCCAAUGGUCCAAAGAGGAACAGUGGCUUAAUGGGCCAUUACUGGGAUUUAUUGGUAUCUUCAAGAACUUUGUUUUUGCAUACCCUUUGUUUUCAUCUCUGUCUUCUCAAAGUAUACCAUACCAAAAGAAGGAUCUUCAGGAUCAACUAUGUGCGUCUUGCAGCCACCAGCUGGCUGCCUCAGCCCUAGAUGUUUAUAUCACCUUGUAGAUCUGGCUAAAAGAAGAGAUAUAGAGCAUUUUUCCUUUCCAGAUGCACUGAUGUAUUUUGUGUGGUUGUUUUAACAGCUCUGCCUGGAUCACAUCAGGCAUAAAGGUCUGAGUGGCCUGUUUCUUAGUAUUUGCCUUAAUUCCUUGAGGUAGGAAUUCUGGGUAUAAUGGUUGGGACCUAAGAGGCAGAGCCUGACUUUUAAACUGGGGCUGCGAACAAGGGAAGUUCUUCUAAAGUAAAAUCAAGCCAGAUGGUAAUGAUGCAAAGCAAGGCCCUUCCAACCUCAUCCCAGUCUUCUGCUCAGGUCAGGCUCAUGAUUUGUAUGAUAAACCAUGGCCACACAUCUCCCAUCCAUACCAGAGAUGUGAGUGUUUUGGAAGCACGUCAGGGAGCAACCUAAAGACAUGUGUGACAGAGCGCAGCUUCCCAGCUAGCACUCAGGAACUCUCCACUGAAAAUAGGCAGCUUGGGAGCACCCAGACGAAGAUAGGCAAAUGACUCUCUGAGAAGACCUGGGAAGCCCUUGUGUGGCGGACAGAUGAAUGAACUUUUGCCUUAAACAUUUCUUGGUGCAUGGGAUGCAAACAGGCCAUAACCCCGCCCUGGCGGAAACAGGACUGGGCUGCUGCGACCCCCGAGAUGGUCUCCCUGUGACCACCCAGGACGUGCCAAGCCUGCGCUGAGCCGGUCCACGAUCGGGCAGAGACUUUGGGACCUGGACUGUCCGUUUUUAGUACAACUUCUAUAAAACUUGCUUGGCAUGAGUGGCUAAAUUUGCUGAAGCCUUAGGCCGCACUCCCUAGUUCAGUGAGAAAGGGCCCCAGAGCUGGUGCAGGCGGAAACGAUAAGGGAGUUACCAGCAAUUUGCAUCUGAACCAGUGCUAAUUGCUGGAGUUACCACCUCUUUGUCAAGACCUUGAGAGAUAAUAGCAGAACCCGAGGAAUGGAGACACACCUGUGGAAGAAACUGCAGCAGAAAACAGCCUGCCUAGGAACGACGAUGAGAUCCAAUAAGGAGCAGGAGACCCCAGACCCAAAAAAUUACUAUUGGCCUGAACUACCACGCGGGGGUGGGAAACUUAUUUUGAAAAAAGCUAUAAUUGCCCGGGGAUCGAUAUUUUCAGGGUCCCUCUUCGGAGGUACCCAACUCGAGCUGUGUGAAGAGGACCCACCUACCACCAGACGGGAGCCCCCCCCCCCCAACCACCACCACCACCGCUGAGACUCCCAAAGGAAGAGGACCAACGGGACGCCGCUGGAUCCACGGGUGGUGAUAUCUUUUUUCUCUCUCUCUCUCCUCUUUUUCCCUCUCCUUUGUUGAAUCUGUUUGAAACGUGUGGCACGGGACUUGUCUAGCUAGUUGAUUAUCCUAUUUGACCACAUGCCUUAUCUUUGUGUUAAUAAAUCUUAAAACUGGU